rnacentral:lncRNA from 1 species
UAUAGCCCUAAAAGCAUUUACAGGGCAAAUGUAUUUUUAUAUAUUUUAUUUUGAGGGGAAAUUACUCCCAAAGGUUGAAUCAUGAUAGAAUUCUGAAAUUUAUUUGGAGCAAUUUGGAGUUCAAAAUCAAAAGAUACCAAAGAAAUCAGAAAAAGAAUAAGAGAAAAGGUUAAAGGAAAAAAAAAGGGGUAAACGGACCGGCC